rnacentral:rRNA from 1 species
UACGUAGGGGGCAAGCGUUGUCCGGAAUCAUUGGGCGUAAAGGGCGCGUAGGCGGCCUGCUAAGUCGAACGUGAAAUCCCCGGGCUCAACCCGGGAACUGCGUCCGAUACUGGCAGGCUUGAAUCCGGGAGAGGGAUGUGGAAUUCCAGGUGUAGCGGUGAAAUGCGUAGAUAUCUGGAGGAACACCGGUGGCGAAGGCGGCAUCCUGGACCGGCAUUGACGCUGAGGCGCGAAAGCCAGGGGAGCAAACGGG